rnacentral:rRNA from 1 species
UACGUAGGCAGCAAGCGUUGUUCGGAGUUACUGGGCGUAAAGGGUGCGUAGGUGGCUCUAUAAGUAUGGUGUGAAAUCUCCCGGCUUAACUGGGAGGGUGCGCCGUAGACUGUGGGGCUAGAGUGUGGGAGAGGAAAGUGGAAUUCCUGGUGUAGUGGUGAAAUGCGUAGAUAUCAGGAGGAACACCGGUGGUGUAAACGGCUUUCUGGACCAUAACUGACACUGAGGCACGAAAGCGUGGGUAGCAACAGG